rnacentral:ncRNA from 1 species
UAUUCUCAGGGCGGGGCGAAAUUCCCCACCGGCGGUAAAUCAGCUACGGCUGAAAGCCCGCGAGCGCUUCUUGUGAAAAUGAGAAGGUCAGCAGAUCCGGUGUAAUUCCGGGGCCGACGGUUAGAGUCCGGAUGGGAGAGAGU